rnacentral:tmRNA from 1 species
GGGGAUGUAAUGGUUUCGACAGGGGUGUUGAAGUGGGAUAAGCGAGCCGUAGUUGCCAAGUCUACGUAAAAAGUGGCCGUUAAAUACAAACGCUAAAAAUAAUAACAAUUUCGCACUAGCUGCAUAGCAGCACCGCGCGUCUUCUGAGAUUCACCUGUAGAUCACAGGUAAGACGUCAGACAUACAGGACAACCUUGCAAGAGUUCUCGGUAUUGUAAGGGACUAACGAGAUAGCGAAUUCUUUAGCUUGCUAAUAGGCGAUUGAAUUUGCGAAAUAUAAAUUGUUAGCUUCGCUCGAAGAAAGUCUCAUGAAUGUGCUUUUGGACGUGGGUUCGAUUCCCACCAUUUCCACCA